AUAAUAAUAAAAGAAUGACCCACUCAGGUCUUAGAUAAUGCGUCCUAUCUUUCCCAUGUUAAAUUAUCUAUGUUUUCAUUCUGAUUUCAUUUAUUCUGUGAUAUAAUUCUGUUCAUUACUUCAGGCAUUUUCGAUAUUAACAUGAGACUUUGAGAGGUCUAGAGAAAUUUUUAAAUAUUACUAAUAAAGGGGAUGUAUAAUUUUUUUAAAAUAUAAAAGAUUACGUUUAUGUGACUAUUCGAUCAAGUGAAAUCGUUCGUCUUAAUUAUUUAAAAUGGAACAAAAUGCACUCAUCAAGUUUUUAGCUGCGAUUGUUUUGACAUGCUUAUACAACGAUACAAAGGUAUGCGCAUACCCAUCAAAAGUUCGAUCAAACCUGAUUCGUCAUAUUAAAAAUGAACGUCAUUGGGAAGAUAUGUGGUUCGAAGAGUUCAUCUAUGAAAAGGAUUGGAAACCUUUAAGGAGACUAUGGAAGCCAAACAAUAAUGCCAAAGUGGAGGAUAGAAUAAAAAUGGCCACUAAUAUGAUGGGAUGCGCUUAUGGCCCAAAUUUAAAUUGGUUUCUCUUAUUGACGCUUGAAGCAGUUGAUGAAUGCGAUGAAAUGCAACGAAACAACCAAGAUCACGCUGGCGAUUGUAAGGUCGAACUUAUAGAAAGUAUUGAAAAAAAUAAAGUUGUUAUAAAAAAGUUGUUGUACGCUUUUAGGUACAUCAAAUCUGAUUGCCACAUCAACAUGGAUAAUAAUGAAUUUUACCAAAUUCUGUCGUCACUCGAAGAUUUUCUCAUGGGAUAUCUUCCUAUAGAAUAUUCUGGCAUAGUUCCAGGAGGUUUAAUUACUAACGAUCUGUUAAAUAAAGUUGCCGUUUCCUUGACAGAGUUUUUGCACUUUGCAUGUUAUCCAGACUACAAAUUAUUCAAUAUGACGGAAAUAAAGAAUGGAUAUAAUAGUGAAAUUUACCCAAAAGGUAUCUACUCUUUCUAUAUCAUCAAGUUGAAUAGUUACAUCGACUACAUCGACAAUCACUUGAUCCAACUCGGGUUUUAUUAUGACGCGAACACGGACCAGAUUACCAGAUUAUCCUAGCGAAAGAGGUUAAAAAACUGUACAUUAAGUCCUGCAGAGAUGUUAUCGUUAUUUGGUGUACAAUAUUAUGUUGUACUAUUUAGUAGUUAAAAGUGCUGUUUUCUCUUCAUAAAUCUUAUAAUUAGAUAAUAAUUUUAAUAAAAUUCAUUCAUA